rnacentral:rRNA from 1 species
UACGGAGGGUGCGAGCGUUAAUCGGAAUUACUGGGCGUAAAGCGCGCGUAGGCGGUUCGAUUAGUCGGAUGUGAAAGCCCCGGGCUUAACCUGGGAACUGCAUUCGAAACUGUCGAGCUAGAGUAUGGUAGAGGGUAGUGGAAUUCCCGGUGUAGCGGUGAAAUGCGUAGAUAUCGGGAGGAACAUCAGUGGCGAAGGCGGCCUCCUGGACUAACACUGACGCUGAGGUACGAAAGCGUGGGGAUCAAACAGG